CCAAUGAAUAAAAUCUAUCUUGGUUUCGUUUAUGUCAUACUGCGAUUAUUUCUCUUAUGUCGAGCUAACGUCUAUGAUUCAAAUCAUUUAGACCAGGAAACAGCUACAUUAACGCUAUGGAAGAAAUAACUCGGACACUGAUCAUUGUUGCGGCAAUUGUAGUGUCGCUAAUCAUCAUCAUCGGCUGCGUGUACUGUGUAUAUUGUAGAAAAUGGAACAUCGAAACACAAAGUGGCGAGACAAAUAGA